rnacentral:rRNA from 1 species
UACGGAGGGAGCUAGCGUUGUUCGGAAUUACUGGGCGUAAAGAGUGCGUAGGCGGUUAAUUAAGUUGGGAGUGAAAUCCCAGGGCUCAACCCUGGAAUUGCUUUCAAAACUGGUUAGCUAGAGAACGAUAGAGGAUGGUGGAAUUCCUAGUGUAGAGGUGAAAUUCUUAGAUAUUAGGAGGAACAUCGGAGGCGAAGGCGACCAUCUGGGUCGUAUCUGACGCUGAUGCACGAAAGCGUGGGGAGCAAACAGG